rnacentral:rRNA from 1 species
GUAGCUGGUCUGAGAGGAUGACCAGCCACACUGGGACUGAGACACGGCCCAGACUCCUACGGGAGGCAGCAGUGGGGAAUAUUGGACAAUGGGGGCAACCCUGAUCCAGCAAUGCCGCGUGUGUGAAGAAGGCCUGAGGGUUGUAAAGCACUUUCAGUGGGGAGGAGGAUUGAUAGGUUAAGAGCUAGKUAAUUGGACGUUACCCACAGAAGAAGCACCGGCUAACUCCGUGCCAGCAGCCGCGGUAAUACGGAGGGUGCGAGCGUUAAUCGGAAUUACUGGGCGUAAAGGGUGCGUAGGUGGUUGAAUAAGUUAUCUGUGAAAUUCCUGGGCUUAACCUGGGACGGUCAGAUAAGACUGUUUGACUCGAGUAUGG